GAGGACCGGAGUGAACGCACCACUGGUGUUCGGGUUGUCAUGCCAAUGGCAUUGCCCGGUAGCUAAGUGCGGAAAAGAUAAGCGCUGAAAGCAUCUAAGCGCGAAACUUGCCUCAAGAUGAGUCUUCCCUGGGCCUUUAAGGCCCCUGAAGGAACGUUUAAGACUAAGACGUUGAUAGGCUGGGUGUGUAAGUGCAGCGAUGCAUUGAGCUAACCAGUACUAAUGAUCCGUGAGGCUUAACCUUACAACACCGAAGGUGUUU
rnacentral:rRNA from 1 species